CAUUGGCUUGUACACAUUCUUUCUUUUCUUUGUAUUUGUUUUUUCAGUGUCCCAGAAAAUUCUUCAUCCUCUUCCUCCUAUGGAAAGCAAAGACGCAUACCGGCCAAGGAAUAUGACCAUUGAGGUGGAUUUGAUGCAAUACACCCUAGUAACUCAUUCUGGAUACCACUGUGAAUGUUUACCUCAUGUUGGUAACUCCUCGCUUAGUGGAGAGGUUUGAUUUCUUCAUGAGAUGGCAGAAUGAUACAGCUAUUUGAGCUUACUAUAAACAGAAACACAACUCUUCAAAAUAGCCAACAUAUUUCUACAGAACUUUGUAUCACUGAUAUUAAUCCAGGUCCAUUUGCAUUGGUGCCUGAAAUAUAAAUGCAACAUACUGUAAAAUGCACAGGACUCCUGGCUAUGUUCCAAGACUCCACAAGAUUUUUUUUUUUCUGGUGCUCACCAAUUAUUAUUCAUGUUGUAAAGAUGGCAUUAAAAUGUCUGAAGGAAUGGUCGGGAUGAAAUCUCAAUCUUGUAGUAAUUAAAACUACUUGAUACAAUUUUUUUCCCAAUUAUAGUAGAGCUAAAAAGUACAUAUAUUUCUACUUGUAUUUCUUACCAUAUU